rnacentral:rRNA from 1 species
GAUGAACGCUGGCGGCGUGCCUAAUACAUGCAAGUCGAGCGAACAGACGAGGAGCUUGCUCCUCUGACGUUAGCGGCGGACGGGUGAGUAACACGUGGAUAACCUACCUAUAAGACUGGGAUAACUUCGGGAAACCGGAGCUAAUACCGGAUAAUAUAUUGAACCGCAUGGUUCAAUAGUGAAAGACGGUUUUGCUGUCACUUAUAGAUGGAUCCGCGCCGCAUUAGCUAGUUGGUAAGGUAACGGCUUACCAAGGCAACGAUGCGUAGCCGACCUGAGAGGGGGGUCGGCAGCACGGGCAAGGAGACACGGUGCGGAAGCUGCAGGGAGGGAGCAGGAGGGAAGGUACAGAAAGGGGUGAGAGAAGGAAGGUGAAAUGAAGAGGGAGGGAUGAAGGUAUACGGAUAGGAAAAAUCGGGGAGUAGGGAAGAAAAGAUGUGUAAGGAACAGUGCAAAUAGGGAAGGUAAAUAAUAAGAAAGAAACGGCGAAGUAAGGG